GCUGGACAAGAAAAUUGUUCCAUAAUCAAUUAUAGCUAUGUCCUAUCUGGGGGAAAAAAGAGAUUGAAUGCUACUGUGACAGUGAAGGAGAAGGAAUUUCUAGUUUGUUCAAAAUUGCGAGCCUACAGAUUGACUAGACAGUAAGAAUGGUGAGCUGUCUUUUCAAUUAUUGACCAGUUGAUGUGUUCAGAGGGCAUCUAGCAAAACUAGUGCAUUUAACAAUCUUCUUGUAUAGUCUCAGACUCAGCAAGCAGUGGGUCUAUGCUUUAGUCACCAAGUACCCAUUAUCCUCCUUGAUUGGUCAUUUUCUAUGGGGCAAAAGGGACCCAGAGGACAACCUGGUGAACAGGAUUCUUGGAUUAUUCUACAAGCACAGGCCAAUACAUCUCAUAAAACUCUGGUUUUCAAGGUUCUGACCUUGGAUCUCAAAGCACAGAAAAUCUGGAAAGUUGGGCAAUGGAGUGUCAUGUGUAAACCUGCCAAGAUUCUUGCAAGACAGAAAAUGUAGUAGAAGUCAGGCUGACCGAAAAGAAAGCCCUUGGUGGUAUUACAUAUCACUGAUGAAUCACUGCUCAAUAUGAAAUGUGGAGAAGAGGAAACGACUGAUAAGAGGAAAUAACAUCAACAGGCUCUCAGAACUCUCUCCUUGGGAUAAAGUGCAACACAUUAAGAUUGAGCUAACUCUGCUGUGAGUAAAAGCUUUUAAAUGCUGCAUAUUCCUCAAGUUUGGAAUGGGAAAAUAAGGGAAUUCUCGAUAGCAUGCAUUUAAUAAAAUCUCAGUGAAUGUAUCUUGCAUAGUUCUAUUCAUGAUCUGCAAUGAAACCUGUUUGUUCUUUUUCAUUGUUCCAGAUGGUCAGCCAUCCUUUCUUUAAGAGGGUCCACCCAGUUUUCUGGGUCAGUCUGCAUUCCACAGCUAGUGGCUCAGUUCUCAUGGGGCUGUUUUGAGACUACUCCUUUAUGCUUCCAUCAUUAUUAUUCCAUCAUUAUAUGCCUUACCUCAGUAUUUAGGCAUUGAACUUUUGCCCAUUUAUUGUAAGCCGCCUUGAGUCUGCUCGGGAAGAAAGGUGGGGUAAAAGUGAUGUAAAUAAAUAAUAAAUAAAUAAAUACUGCCAAAUGUAAUAUAGCAGUAUACUACAGUUAAGGUAUCCUCUGCGCUACAUUACCCACCAUUAUAACUAUUCUGCUCUAGGCUAUUUCAAAAAUGGCCUGUGGAAUUUCAGUGAGAUUAACAGAGAUGUCCAUAUUUUCUUAUUUUAUCCUUGCAAGAUUGUGAGAGUUUUUGAAGAAUUUUGGAUGAUUCAUUGUAUUUGAGGAGCUUUCCCCCUAAAAAAAUAUUUUGUACCAUGUGUACAAAAACUAAUUUUGGGUACAAACCUUCUUUUUUGCCAAAAAGAAAUUAUUUAGGGGUUGAAAACUAUGAUAUAAAUGGUUUUUCAUAUAGUUGCUGCUGAUUAAAAGGCUCUUAUUGUUUUGCUGUUACACCAAGAUGAACAAUUUCAUAAUGAUGGACAAUUUCUCUAGUUAGAUGUCUUAUCAAGACACCUUUUCAUGAUUUUUUUUUCAAGUAUUCUAGAAAAAGUGAUACCUAUGUUUCUCCACUAUUAGGGAACAUCCUCCCUAAUAGGAACAUCCUCCCCAGUGCAUAACCAUAGAAGAAUGUGAACCAAACAGAGUGACAGUAAAACCCAAUACUAUUCUGUUUAAACUAAGAGUGUACAAUAGAAUGGGCACAUAGUUCUAUUAUCACUAUAAUGUGUCAUGACUUCCAUGGCAGAUAUAAUAGGUACUUUCUAUUAAAGAUGUGAGUAAAAAAAAAAUUCUUCAUUUCCUUCGUGCUGUCAUUUCAUUUGGACCGUUGAUCUACACAAAACGAAUGACGACAUUUUCAUUGGAAGCUGCACAGUCAUCGUGCUUGCUUUCAUUUUCCUUUCUUUUCGGCCCCGUAACAAUAAGCAGGUACUGACAGAGGGAUGCUUUCCCAUUAUUUCCGAUAUGUGCCAAUGGGUGUUAAUAAUAAUAAUAUUAAUAAUAACAAUAGUACUCUGGGAAAGACCCAAAUGUUUUUAAAAGUUGGUGAACUUUAAAGAGUAAAAAUGCCCUCUGUGUGUGGUGAUUUUCACCCCUGUAUCCCAAAAACUGAGCGGGUAGGUGAGCCUCGGAAGCCCUCCCAUUGUAGUCAAUGGUCCAUAAAUUUACGUUUUUUUCAUAAGCCAGACAAAAAUUCUGUUUGUAUAGGCGCCCCAUUUUCGUCAGCGGGAACAAAUACAAAAAUGAGACAAAAUGAAUGUAACUCCACAAAAUGAGCAGCAAUUCCAUACAAAAGCACACUACUUUUUAUAUGUCAAUACUUUCCAUAUGUCAGAAUGAAAAGUAAAUAAAUAAAAAGUAAACAAAUGGAAGAAAGAUCUGUUA